CUGCAAGGCGGGGUCAGUAUUUGGCAGCAGCCUCCCGCUGUGUUCACAGUGAGAGGGCGGGACCAGUAUUUGGCAGGUUGGUCUCAGGAGGGUGUGUUAGUAUGAGAUCCUCGCUGAGCAAGUAUCUGCAAACGGGUACCAGAGCCAGUCCAAGCAUAAAAACGGGAACCGCAUUAUUAUCGAGUGCCUUUGCAAUGUUUCCGACGGUAUUUUUAUGCUGUCUGCUUUGAUAUAGUCGAAGUUGUCUUCUCUUCAGACGUCGACUACAGAAACCAAACAAGAAAUUAAUGCAUCUUGCUCCGCGUUCCUGAUUGUUUUGACCUGUGUAGCUAGAAGGGAAUCCUGCUAGAGGGAUUAGCGGUCUGUCAAUGAGGAACUACCGGCUCAUCUUCUGCCACAACCUGAAGCAGCCAUAGAUGGUUCAGUGGUUCACCGGCCAGGGGAGGAGAGGAUAGGAUACACUUUCACUGCUACACUUGUCUUAUCAGGCUGAUACUAUCA